GCCCGCGGAGGCACCGACCCCUUGGUGUGGCCGCGAUGGGGCCCGUCCCGUCCCCCGACCGGGGGACAUCGAGGGACAGGAAUGGAUUUCGGGACCUCCGAGCUCCAGACAGUGCUCAGAAGGCUGCGGUCCCGCUGCGUGAGGUGUUCCCAUGGUUCUAGGCUCAGUGCUUCCCUGCCGGGGCUGUCACUUCCCACCAGCUAUGUUCUCGUUUCCACUGCCACCCACAAGGGCUGCGGCAUGUGCAGGGUUUGUGUUGUGCUUCCCCGUGCAAACAGCAGGAGAGAGGAGCUGCCAUCCCUUACUCCUCACAUACAGCAAUUGUAACCGCUGGGCAUAAAAGCACUGCAAAGGGUCAGGUACCUUUGAGGAGUGGCACAGCAGAUUGUACCUUUAUUUCUGAGAUGAGAUGCUGGACAUGCUGCUACGAACUCAGCAGGAACUAGAGGCUGCUGAGACCAAAAGGAGAGAGACACUGCCAGUCACCUUGUUGACAGCAGCAAUCCCCUGCCCAAGGCAGAGACUCCCAGCUGCCACCGAGUUCAGAGCACCAUGGCAGCCAGGAUUCAGGAGCCUUUCACAGAUGCCUCUUUGGACAAUCCAUGGCACUCGGCCCUGUGCCAGCUCUGCUUCCCCUCCAACCCUGCCAGCAGUGCCUUUGUGCCCCUGUGGCGGUAACUUGCUGCCACCUGCCACAGAGCUUCCCCCCUGCUCCUUCCUGGUCUGGUUACACUUGACUAAAAAUCUUUGUCUUAUUAUUAAUCAUGAAGGAAUGAAUAGGGGAUAAACAAUACCUGUACAGGGCAAGAAAUCACACCCAUAUUUAUAAGGAACCCCCAAACUAAUUCUGCAAAGCACAAUAGGUCAUGAUUUUAAAGGAGAUGGAUUCUUUUGAUAAUGUGUCAUGUCUUUUGGUAAAACAGGACUUCAGAAGCAAGCUGAUGUUUUCUGCUAAGAAGGAAAAAUAGAUUUUCAAAGCAAAAAGGGCACAGCAUUUGCAGGGACAUUUGGGAGGGGGGACAGGGAAAAGGAGGUCACAAAUUAGAGAAAAUACAUGAGCCUGUUACAAAUGGCACUGGAAAAGAAAUAGCUGGGGGAUUCACACAGCUUGAGGUAACAUACAGAGUCCACACAAGGACCUGAACCCUCAUCAGGCUACUGAGCACCUGGUGGGGUACAUGGACAUGGGUUCAACACUGACAGCUGUGGGAACCUCACUUCCCUUAAGGUUUGGUGAAUUUUAAAAUCAUGAAUUUCUAACAAAAAAGAAACAUGGGAAUAACUGAUCAGAUAUUGUCCAUAGUCAACUAACAAACACAAAACGUCAGCAUAAAGCCACUUCAAACUCCAGGUUACAUUCUUUGGUUAAUGCAAAGGCAAUAGUUCAGUUCCCAGGCCUCAGGCAGACCACAUCUGUCCCCUCGGGCUGUUCAGCAGUGCACAGGUAGGACAGGAACUAUCAGGGAACAGCAUUAGGUCUUGCUGGUUAUAGAAGCUGAAGAAACAAGUAGGUUCUGGAGUGACAAUUCUUUGAAACAAACCUUUGCUGUAGGUUGAAGAGUUUUGUUUGUUGGCUGUGGUUUGCUAUGAAUAAACGAGAAUAUGUAUGAGGUUUUGUUCCUCUGAACAGUCAUCAAACGCCAAAGGCAAUACCUUCGAUCCCCUGUCAAGCCACUCCCUGCCAGACUAAGUCCAAGAACUCUCUCAUGGCCGGAUUGAUCUGUGCUUGUUGUUUUAUUCGUCUUUACAUGCAUCUGUUUGGGGUGGAAGGAAUGAAGGGGAAGGUGUAAAAGGAGAAGGCUCAGUUACGACUCUCCGUUUUCGGGUACAAUCUCCUGUUUCGCCUCUGGAGCCUCAACAGAACUGAAUAGUUGCAUUUAGCACAAAUCGAGGGCAGCGACUGCACCCACUAGUGGGGGAAUUUUUACUGAGAUGCAGCUCCGAGUAUUUCUUUUGCUCAGGUCACAGCGAUCACACGCUAGCGUGCAGCUUUUUUCUGCCGUUUUCCCCCUCACUUUUGUUUUUGUUCUCUCUUUACCUCAACCUUCUCUUGUUUUCUCAUGCUGAUUUGCUCCAUUAUGUAAAAGUGAAAACUUCCUACACUGUGUCUCCUGAAACUGGAAGGAAAAAAGCACAGAUCAGCCCCGUAAAAGCAGCCACUUAAAAGAGACUGGGUAGCCUCAGGCAAGUAACAGCCCUCCCCCACUCAUCCCCGAUUUUGCCUUAUUUCUGAUGAUGUGAGGACAAAAACAUCCAUAUAUCUGAUUCUGCCAGGUCAGGAAAAAAAAAAGCAACAUAAGAUUACUUGAAAUACCUUUUAUAUACCGAAACCCCAGCAAAUCAGAGAAAGUGGAAUAAAGGAUCAAAGUGCAGUUACUUAGAACAGUCCGUGUCUGGAGCUGCUUGCUCCUUUCUCAUCCUCAGGGAAGAAAAAGCCCAGACAUGCACCACGAUACAGGAAACAUGUUCUACAUUUGCAGUAACUUUGCAUACUACUGGCUAAAAAAAAAUUGAUUUAUUUCGGUCUCUUUCACAUACCUAAAUUCCAGUUUUCUUAUCUCUUUGCCAUCUGAAAAACCCACAAAGCUUUCCCCUUAAGUCCCCCCUGACAAGUUUAAUUUAAAGUUUUUAAAUUGCAGUUUGUGCUUAGCAUUUUUAUGAUGAUGCAGUCUGUAUAUUAAUUCACACUCAUAAUAUUUACUCCUCUAAUAAAGAAUAAUAUGCCUUGGCAGUUCUAAUCAUAUCAAUUAAAGAUAAUUUAUUGAUGACUGAAGAUUAUCUAUUUAGAGAGGAUAAAUUUUAAAUAUUAAGACCCUCUUAAGAAAACUACUCUGCUGUUGGGUUCAAAUAUUUAGUAUCAGUUUUUCAACACAUGAAAAGCUGCCCCAUGCAGUGACCCAAAGUGAGGAGCUGCCUGCAGGAGAAUUGGGCUGGGAAAGUGCUCAGUUACAUCCAGACAGUCUCCGACUGCCAUUGCUCACGCUUCCACAUGAACCAGCUGCUGCUGGAGAUGCCAAACUUGAACUUCGGAAAUUCAGAUUAACUCCUGUGCUGAUCAGAGAGAGAUGACAGGGCUAAAAGGGUCAUCAGUCCAGCCCAAGAGUGUUUAUGCUUUUAUGUUCUUGUCUCUUCUAUGGGGUAUCAUGAUGGCCAACUCCAGCCAGGAUUUGAAAUUCUAGAGGAUUCAGUUCCAUUGAGACUUUUUGGUUUUGAAGGCGGUCCACGGAACCUCUUUCUGCUCCAGUUUCACUGUCUGUAAAAUGGCUAUAAGAGUUCUUUACCAUUCGUUUUAGGGACUCUUACUUCACUGUUAAUUGUGUAGUACUUUAAAUUCCUCAGAAGAACAUUGCACUCAGCUGUGAUAUAAAUGGACUCACAUGUGCUCAAGAGGUGAAAGCACUACGAUCGUUCUGCUGAGCUCCUACUCUGUAUCCUCCAAUCUUGAUUCCA